rnacentral:rRNA from 1 species
UACGUAGGGGGCAAGCGUUGUCCGGAUUUAUUGGGCGUAAAGAGCGUGUAGGCGGCCUGGAAGGUCAGCUGUGAAAACUCGAGGCUCAACCUCGAGACGUCGGUUGAAACCACCUGGCUAGAGUCCGGAAGAGGAGUGUGGAAUUCCCGGUGUAGCGGUGAAAUGCGCAGAUAUCAGGAGGAACACCAAUGGCGAAGGCAGCACUCUGGGACGUGACUGACGCUGAGACGCGAAAGCGUGGGGAGCAAACAGG